rnacentral:rRNA from 1 species
ACCGAUAGCGCACAAGUACCGUGAGGGAAAGGUGAAAAGAACCGUGGGUAACGGAGUGAAAUAGAACCUGAAACCAUCUACUUACAAUCAUUCAGAGCCCUAUGAUUUAUCAGGGUGAUGGACUGCCUUUUGCAUAAUGAUCCUGCGAGUUGUGGUGUCUGGCAAGGUUAAGUGAAAACGAGCCGUAGCGAAAGCGAGUCUGAAUAGGGCUAUUUAGUCAGACGCUGCAGACCCGAAGCCAAGUGAUCUAUCCAUGGCCAAGUUGAAACGAGUGUAACAGCUUGUGGAGGACUGAACCCGUGCCCAUUGAAACGGGCUGGGAUGAGCUGUGGAUAGGGGUGAAAGGCCAAACAAACUUGGUGAUAGCUGGUUCUCUUCGAAAUAUAUUUAGGUAUAGCCUCAAGUCAUGACAAGAGGGGGUAGAGCUCUGAUUGGGCUAGGGCUGCUCGCCGCAGUACCAAACCCUGUCAAACUGCGAAUACCUUUUGUUGUAUCUUGGGAGUCAGGCGGUGGGUGAUAAAAUCAAUCGUCAAGAGGGAAACAACCCAGACUACCAACUAAGGUCCCCAAGUUCUAUUCUGAGUGGAAAAAGAUGUGUGGUUACUCAAACAACCAGGAGGUUGGCUUAGAAGCAGCCAUCCUUUAAAGAAAGCGUAACAGCUCACUGGUCUAGUGAUCAUGCGCUGAAAAUAUAACGGGGCUAAGAUAGACACCGAAGUUGUAGAUUGCUCUUUUAGAGCAGUGGUAGAAGAGCGUUCUGUGCAGCACUGAAGGCAUACCGGUAAGGAGUGUUGGAGCGCACAGAAGUGAGCAUGCAGGAAUGAGUAGCGAUAAGAUGCGUAAGAAUCGUAUCCGCCGUAAAUCUAAGGUUUCCUACGCGAUGUUCGUCAUCGUAGGGUUAGUCGGGUCCUAAGCCAAGUCCAAAAGGGGUAGGCGAUGGCAAAUGGGUUAAUAUUCCCAUACCAAUUGCAAUGUGCGAUGGGAGGACGCAUAAAGUUAGGCGAGCCAGCUGAUGGAAGUGCUGGUCGAAGGGUGUAGAUUGGGAGAGUGGCAAAUCCGCUCCUGUAUUUGAAACCUGACAGGCUCUCUAAGACCUUCGGGUCAAGGGGAGAAUCGCUGAUACUAUCGUGCCAAGAAAAGUCUCUAAGUUUAGUUGCAAUUGUCCGUACCGCAAACCGACACAGGUAGAUGAGAUGAGUAUUCUAAGGCGCGUGGAUGAACUCUCUUUAAGGAACUCUGCAAACUAGCACCGUAAGUUCGCGAUAAGGUGUGCCUACUCUAAGUAGGUCUCAGCAAAGAGUCCCUCCCGACUGUUUACCAAAAACACAGCACUUUGCCAACUCGUAAGAGGAAGUAUAAGGUGUGACGCCUGCCCGGUGCUCGAAGGUUAAGAGGAUGGGUUAGCCGCAAGGCGAAGCUUUGAAUUGAAGCCCGAGUAAACGGCGGGCGGAACUAUAAANACCGAUAGCGCACAAGUACCGUGAGGGAAAGGUGAAAAGAACCGUGGGUAACGGAGUGAAAUAGAACCUGAAACCAUCUACUUACAAUCAUUCAGAGCCCUAUGAUUUAUCAGGGUGAUGGACUGCCUUUUGCAUAAUGAUCCUGCGAGUUGUGGUGUCUGGCAAGGUUAAGUGAAAACGAGCCGUAGCGAAAGCGAGUCUGAAUAGGGCUAUUUAGUCAGACGCUGCAGACCCGAAGCCAAGUGAUCUAUCCAUGGCCAAGUUGAAACGAGUGUAACAGCUUGUGGAGGACUGAACCCGUGCCCAUUGAAACGGGCUGGGAUGAGCUGUGGAUAGGGGUGAAAGGCCAAACAAACUUGGUGAUAGCUGGUUCUCUUCGAAAUAUAUUUAGGUAUAGCCUCAAGUCAUGACAAGAGGGGGUAGAGCUCUGAUUGGGCUAGGGCUGCUCGCCGCAGUACCAAACCCUGUCAAACUGCGAAUACCUUUUGUUGUAUCUUGGGAGUCAGGCGGUGGGUGAUAAAAUCAAUCGUCAAGAGGGAAACAACCCAGACUACCAACUAAGGUCCCCAAGUUCUAUUCUGAGUGGAAAAAGAUGUGUGGUUACUCAAACAACCAGGAGGUUGGCUUAGAAGCAGCCAUCCUUUAAAGAAAGCGUAACAGCUCACUGGUCUAGUGAUCAUGCGCUGAAAAUAUAACGGGGCUAAGAUAGACACCGAAGUUGUAGAUUAUGUUUCACACAUAGUGGUAGAAGAGCGUUCUGUGCAGCACUGAAGGCAUACCGGUAAGGAGUGUUGGAGCGCACAGAAGUGAGCAUGCAGGAAUGAGUAGCGAUAAGAUGCGUAAGAAUCGUAUCCGCCGUAAAUCUAAGGUUUCCUACGCGAUGUUCGUCAUCGUAGGGUUAGUCGGGUCCUAAGCCAAGUCCAAAAGGGGUAGGCGAUGGCAAAUGGGUUAAUAUUCCCAUACCAAUUGCAAUGUGCGAUGGGAGGACGCAUAAAGUUAGGCGAGCCAGCUGAUGGAAGUGCUGGUCGAAGGGUGUAGAUUGGGAGAGUGGCAAAUCCGCUCCUGUAUUUGAAACCUGACAGGCUCUCUAAGACCUUCGGGUCAAGGGGAGAAUCGCUGAUACUAUCGUGCCAAGAAAAGUCUCUAAGUUUAGUUGCAAUUGUCCGUACCGCAAACCGACACAGGUAGAUGAGAUGAGUAUUCUAAGGCGCGUGGAUGAACUCUCUUUAAGGAACUCUGCAAACUAGCACCGUAAGUUCGCGAUAAGGUGUGCCUACUCUAAGUAGGUCUCAGCAAAGAGUCCCUCCCGACUGUUUACCAAAAACACAGCACUUUGCCAACUCGUAAGAGGAAGUAUAAGGUGUGACGCCUGCCCGGUGCUCGAAGGUUAAGAGGAUGGGUUAGCCGCAAGGCGAAGCUUUGAAUUGAAGCCCGAGUAAACGGCGGCCGUAACUAUAACGGUCCUAAGGUAGCGAAAUUCCUUGUCGGUUAAAUACCGACCUGCAUGAAUGGCGUAACGAGAUGGGAGCUGUCUCAAAGAGAGAUCCAGUGAAAUUGUAGUGGAGGUGAAAAUUCCUCCUACCCGCAGCAAGACGGAAAGACCCCGUGGACCUUUACUAUAGCUUAGCACUGCUAAUGGGAAUGCCAUGCGCAGGAUAGGUGGGAGGCUGUGAAGUAAGGGCUUUGGCUCUUAUGGAGCCAUCCUUGAGAUACCACCCUUGGCGUUUUUGUUAGCUAACUGGCCUAAGUCAUCCUUAGGCAGGACAAUGCUUGGUGGGUAGUUUGACUGGGGCGGUCGCCUCCUAAAAAGUAACGGAGGCUUACAAAGGUUAGCUCAUGGCGGUUGGAAAUCGCCAGCUGAGUGUAANUCCCCGCCGUAAAUCUAAGGUUUCCUACGCGAUGUUCGUCAUCGUAGGGUUAGUCGGGUCCUAAGCCAAGUCCAAAAGGGGUAGGCGAUGGCAAAUGGGUUAAUAUUCCCAUACCAAUUGCAAUGUGCGAUGGGAGGACGCAUAAAGUUAGGCGAGCCAGCUGAUGGAAGUGCUGGUCGAAGGGUGUAGAUUGGGAGAGUGGCAAAUCCGCUCCUGUAUUUGAAACCUGACAGGCUCUCUAAGACCUUCGGGUCAAGGGGAGAAUCGCUGAUACUAUCGUGCCAAGAAAAGUCUCUAAGUUUAGUUGCAAUUGUCCGUACCGCAAACCGACACAGGUAGAUGAGAUGAGUAUUCUAAGGCGCGUGGAUGAACUCUCUUUAAGGAACUCUGCAAACUAGCACCGUAAGUUCGCGAUAAGGUGUGCCUACUCUAAGUAGGUCUCAGCAAAGAGUCCCUCCCGACUGUUUACCAAAAACACAGCACUUUGCCAACUCGUAAGAGGAAGUAUAAGGUGUGACGCCUGCCCGGUGCUCGAAGGUUAAGAGGAUGGGUUAGCCGCAAGGCGAAGCUUUGAAUUGAAGCCCGAGUAAACGGCGGCCGUAACUAUAACGGUCCUAAGGUAGCGAAAUUCCUUGUCGGUUAAAUACCGACCUGCAUGAAUGGCGUAACGAGAUGGGAGCUGUCUCAAAGAGAGAUCCAGUGAAAUUGUAGUGGAGGUGAAAAUUCCUCCUACCCGCAGCAAGACGGAAAGACCCCGUGGACCUUUACUAUAGCUUAGCACUGCUAAUGGGAAUGCCAUGCGCAGGAUAGGUGGGAGGCUGUGAAGUAAGGGCUUUGGCUCUUAUGGAGCCAUCCUUGAGAUACCACCCUUGGCGUUUUUGUUAGCUAACUGGCCUAAGUCAUCCUUAGGCAGGACAAUGCUUGGUGGGUAGUUUGACUGGGGCGGUCGCCUCCUAAAAAGUAACGGAGGCUUACAAAGGUUAGCUCAUGGCGGUUGGAAAUCGCCAGCUGAGUGUAAUGGCACAAGCUAGCUUAACUGCAAGAGAGACAACUCAAGCAGGGACGAAAGUCGGUCAUAGUGAUCCGGUGGUUCUCGUGUGGAAGAGCCAUCGCUCAAAGGAUAAAAGGUACCCCGGGGAUAACAGGCUGAUCUCCCCCAAGAGCUCACAUCGACGGGGAGGUUUGGCACCUCGAUGUCGGCUCAUCGCAUCCUGGGGCUGGAGCAGGUCCCAAGGGUAUGGCUGUUCGCCAUUUAAAGCGGUACGCGAGCUGGGUUCAGAACGUCGUGAGACAGUUCGGUCCCUAUCUGCUGUGGGCGUAGGAAAGCUGAGGAGAGCUGUCCCUAGUACGAGAGGACCGGGAUGGACAUGCCACUGGUGCACCAGUUGUUCUGCCAAGAGCACCGCUGGGUAGCCACGCAUGGUUGUGAUAAGAGCUGAAAGCAUCUAAGCUCGAAGCCAACUCCAAGAUAAGCUUUCCCUGAAGCUCGCAUGAAGACUACAUGUUUGAUAGGGUGGGUGUGUAAGUGCAGCAAUGCAUUUAGCUAACCACUACUAAUAGAGCGUUUGGCUUGUUUGC